AGUUUGAUAGAGGGGAAGGGUUCUUCCCUAAAGUUUCAAUCCAACACAAUUUGCCCCAAAUUACAAUGCAUUAAGCUGUGAUUUUUGUGCAAGAAGCUUUUUCUAAGCUCAAUUUAGUGUUCUUGAUCGAAGGGUCGAAGAAAGGAGGGGAAUCAAGCCAAACAAGGGCAAUAGGAGCGCACGACUCCGGUAAAUCUCAUGCUUAAGGUUGGCGACUUGGAACAAACACACCACAAGGCCGAAUGCGCUUCCGAUAUCAAGAUUGUGUCAAACGGGUCAAAACUUGAAUUUCAAAGUGUUUUUGAAGUUAAAAUUUUAUACUCAUGUUAUUUUUCUAGUAGGCUAAUGAUAGAUGUAAAUUUAGUUGCAUGAAUAUGAAUUCGAACCGUAAGACAAAUGUUCAAAGUUUUAUACAUGGUUGGAUCU